GAUGAACGCUGGCGGCGUGCCUAAUACAUGCAAGUCGAGCGAAGCGGGGACGUGUGUGUAACACGUGGGUAACCCCCUAUAUGACUGGGGUUACUUAGGGAAAACGGUGCUAAAACCGAAUCUUUUAGAUGAAUCCGCGUUGCAUUAGCUAGUUGGUAGGGUAACGGCUUACCAAGGCAACGAUGCAUAGCAGACCUGAGAGGAUGAUCAGCCACACUGGAACUGAGACACGGUCCAGACUCCUACGGGAGGCAGCAGUAGGGAAUCUUGCGCAAGGGGCGAAAGCCUGACGGAGCAACGCCGCGUGAGUGAUGAAGGUAUUCGGAUUGUAAAACUCUGUUAUCGGGGAAGCGGUACCUGCACAGAAAGCAACGGCUAACUCCGUGCCAGCAGCCGCGGUAAUUC
rnacentral:rRNA from 1 species